GCAGACCCUCCCCUCUCCCCUCCAGCCUGGACACGCCCGCCUCCCCUUGACUCCCCCCAGCUCUGGGCCCCCACCUCCCCUCCCCUCCAGCACAGUCACCCCCAUUUCUCUCCUAUCCGCCAUCCUGGUUCCUCCCUUCCCCCCACCUCCCAACUCUGUGCCCCGCCAACGUUUCCUAAAUGCCCUCUAUUCAGAUCCCCCCUCCGCCUCCCCUCUCCUCUCCUCCAUUCCUGCGUCCCCCUUCCCCCGCCGCGCCGCCUGGGCUGUCCGUGGACUUCUCCCACUCUCUCACUCUCUCACUCACUCUCUCUCUCUCUCUCUCUCUCUCACUCUCUCUCUCUCUCUCCCCCUCAUUUAUUUGGAACCGUUGGAUAAGAAGUGCUCGGGCUCUCGCUCAGACUUAGGGAGCUGCCUCGAGGUGAUGAAUGACACCCCCUGGCACCAGCUACCCUUCUCAGACCCCAGUCCAGCCCGCUCCCGACGUCGACUACGAUUCCGCUACCUCGGCUGGCAGCGAGGUUGGGGUGAGCCCCAGCUGCAGGCGCGUCUGGGCUGCGCCGCUGCAAACGAGUUGCGCACCUUGGGCGGCUCCGCACCUGCACCCGCACCCGCGGGGCUCAGCCCCGAAGGCUGCAGCUUCGGGGGAGGCGCGGUCGCCGAGGUCCAGCUGGUGGGGCGAGAGACGUCGCCCCUCGGAGGAUGCUCUCGGAACUUGGGAGAGGAAGGAGGGAAGAGAAGAGGGGAAAGGGGCCGUCGAUGUUUUUGAUGUCUGUGCUUUAAUGGAGGCCACCAAUAUUGAGAAGACGGGGUUGGCCGAGGCAGCCCGCACGCUGCUGCUUGCGAGCGCUCGAGUCAAAGCUAGGGCCAACCGCGGCUUGUCCGGGUGCCCUAAGGGGGCGGACACUUGGUUUAGCACCGGGACACAGAAUAGCCACCGGGGUAGGAAGAUGCGUUCACUUUGCUUACCUGUUGGCAAGAGGGACAUACAAAAAUAACGUAACGUGACAUCGUUGACAACGGUAGCUCUUUGAUUACACAAAAGCCAAUUUUACCUUCCCGCAAAAGCCAGUUGACGCCUUUGGAACUUUUAUUUGCGGCAUUUUGGCGCCCUCUGGCUGUGUUUGGAUCGCUUUCAUGCUCGCCUGCGUCCCAGCCAAGAAAAAAUCGAUGGAGCUGCAGGUUGUCCUCAGGAUGGUUCUGCCCUCAGGACCUGGGCGUGAAUUCAGGGACAGGGUGGCCCUCCAGAACCGGAGUGACAAACUGUAACCAUACUUAGGGAGGCAGACGUCAAAGGCAAGUACAUCUGUAUUCAACUGGGUAAAGGAAGAGUUUUUCAGCCUGGCGUGGUGGCUCACACCUGUAAUCCCAGCACUUUGGGAGGCCAAGCCAUGUGAAGACGUGCCUGCCUCCCUGUUACCUUCCACCAUGAUUGUAAGCUUCCUGAGGCCUCCCCAGCCAUGCCUGCUGUAUAGCCUGCAGAACAGAAGCGUUCCACUGUAAAGGAGCAACUUGACAGGCUGAGCCUGGCGGUGACAGCAUACAGGAUGGGCGCAGCCCCCACAUCUGGGUCAUUUCGUGUCAUCAUGUCUGGAAUAUCAAGUUUGAGCACGUAUGCAGCAAGGAUACCCUUCAACUAAAAGUUGCAUCCUCAAAUUGGGGCUUUCUAACUCAGCGUGGCGAUGUUGUGGAUCAGGUCAAAAGUGCUUUUCCUUAGAGCCAAGUUGAGAGUUGAGAGGCCUCUGCCACCUGCAUCUGUGCUUAUGAGCAACACAUGUGGUCUCGGAGGGGGCUUCGGCGAGCACAAACUCCAGCAUUGUCAUUCAGAACCCAGGACAAAGCCUUUCACACUUGCACGACAUGUGCUUUCUGAAAUGAAUGCAACUGCAUACUUCCUUCUUGAGCUCGCAGUAAUGAAUGACUUCACAGAUGGAUGGAUGAUCUUGUGGCUGGCUACAAAGAAUAGACUAAAACCCGCGGAAAUGCAGAUAGAUUAAAAAGGAGUGACAGGAUUAAUGAAAAUAAAACGCAGACCUUAUAAGCAGACGCUGUGAUUUUGUAAUAAAGAGGGGCAGCUUUUACAGGAAAAAGAACCCGAGGGAAGCUGUUGGCAGUCUGUGAAACGACGGUCAUGGUGGAAUUCGUUUUUCUGCACAUUAGAUGUUUAAAACAGCUGGUUUUCGUUGUUGUUGUUGUUGUUGUUUUCCUGAAAGAAUCUUGUUCCCCACAAUAUGUUCUUGGUAUUCAAAAUGGCUUUUGCUCCUACUUUUUGGAAAAUGCACUUCAGUUUCCAAUUUAUUCAUUUGUUAGUGGGUUCAUCAAUUAGUUUAUUCAUCAAUUAGUUCAUCCAUUGUGGAAGACAGUGUGGCGAUUCCUCAAGGAUCUAGAACCAAAAAUACCAUUUGACCCAGCAGUCCCAUUACUGGGCUUAUUGAAGUCUCCUAAUGUGAAUUUCUACUCCUGGACAUAAUACCUUCUUCUCAGAAAUAAGACAGAGUUUUCCCCUGCACUUCUUUAUAUGCUUUUUUCUCUGACUUUUGCCAUGUGGUUUUGUUUCUCCCAUGGCUUGAAAGAGCAGGAAAACUGAAGGUACCAACUGAAAGUGCUGCUUCCUGCUUUUGGUUUUCCUUCAUUUUAUUUCAUUUUUCAAGCUGAGUCUCACUCUGUUGCCCAGGCUGAAAUGCAGCUCAACCAUCACGGCUCACAGCAGCCUUGACCUCCUGAGCUCAAGCAGUCCUCCUUCCUCAGCCUCCCGAGUAGCUAGGACCAUAGGUGUGCACCGCCACCCUUAGCUUUUUUUUUUUUUUUUUUUUUGUAGAGACAGAGUCUCCCUAUGUUUCCCAGACUCGGUGUUUUUCAAAUAUUUGAAAAUGUAAAAGCCAUUCUUAGCCCACAGGCUGUACAAAAACAGAUGGAGGGCCAGAUUUAACCCAUGGGCAGUGGUUGGCCAAACCCUUGUGUAUCCCAUGCCAUGCCCUACUAUUCCAGACUUAAAAGUUAUAAUUUUAGGAUAAACUUGUUAUAUUUUUGUCAUGUCAGAAGACUGAGUGUAUACAUUUUCUUUUUUUUUUUUUUGACGGAGUUUUGCUCUGUCCCCCAGGCUGGAGUGCAGUGGGGUGAUCUCGGCUCACUACAACCUCUGUCUUCCGAGUUCAAGUGAUUCUCCUGUCUCAGUCUCCUGAGUAGCUGGGAUUACAGGCUCAUGCCACCAUGCCCAGCUAAUUUUUGUAUUUUUAGUAGAAACGGGGUUUUGCCAUGUUGGCCAGGCUGGUCUCGAACUCCUGACCUCAGGUGAUCCACCUGCCUAGGCCUCCCAAAGUGCUGGAAUUACAGGCGUGAGCCACUGCACCUGGCCUGAGCAUAUACAUUUUCAUAGGCAAAAACAUACCUUGGAAAUACUUCUCAGGAAUGUGCACAUAUGAAUUACAAAAUGUAAAAAGCUUCAACUCCAUUAUGAACUGUAAAUGCAUGUGGCAGGAGGCGAUCCUCAUAGAAGCUGUCAGGGCGUGACUUCAUUCUAGAUGCUGUAAGUAGCAAUAAUAAAAGAGGAAGCAAACACGUGCAGCUUCUGGAAUUCAGACCCUGGAGGAAGGAGACAGGUGGCCUUGAGUGAGGAUAUGAGGAACACAGUCAAGGAGAAAAUGCAGCUGGUGAAUUAUAAACAUCCAUGGGCAGACAUAGAAAGUUAGGAACCCCAGCCCUCUAAUGGAACCAAGAAACCAGAGGCCAGUAGGAAACGGCUCCAGGAAGAGCGAAACUUGAUAAAUGUCCUAGACGUCAGUGAGAAAGAUCCGUUUGUUUUGUUUACACUGAAAAUUUUUAAAUUGCAUGACUAUUUAGAGCACUUUUACAUUUUUUGCCUAGAAUUAGAUCCAAAGAAUAAAUGACCUAUUGAGCCUGAAGGGAUUUUAGGAAAAAAUAACUUUUUUAAAAAAAUAUGUUUUUUUGUUUUUUGUGUUUUUUUUUUGAGACAGAGUCUCGCUCUGUCACCCAGGCCGGAGUGCAGUGGUGCUAUCUUGGCUCACUGCAAGCUCUGCCUCCCGGGUUCACGCCAUUCUCCUGCCACAGCCUCCCAAGUAGCUGGGACUACAGGCAUCUGCCACCACCCCCGGUUAAUUUUUUUUUUUUUUGUAUUUUUAGUAAAGACGGGGUUUCACCGGGUUGCCCAAGAUGGUCUCGAUUUCCUGACCUCAUGAUCUGCCAGCCUUGGCCUCUCAAAAUGCUGGGAUUACAGGUGUGAGCCACCAUGCCUGGCCUAAAAAAUAUAUAUUUUUUAAAAAAUAAAGACAAGGGUCUCACUAUGUUGCCCAGCUUGGUCUUGAAAUCUUGGGCUCAAGUGAUCCUCCUGCCUUGGCCUCCCAAAGUGCUAGGAUUACAGACAUGAGCCACUGCACCAGGCCAAGAAAAAGUAUCUUAAUGACAUAUUUUCAUUUGUGUUUUUCUUCAGCCCUCUGGAUGCCAGCUCUCCUUCCCACUUGGCAGCUCCCUGCAGCAGUUUCUCGUUAUGAUUUUUGGGAGCUUGUUACAGAUGUGAAAUCCUCCUCUUUAAUUUAAGUCUAUGUCCACUAAUUUGGUCCUCCACAAAACUGAUGAAAAACUAGUGCACAUUCCCCACAUUAAAACUUGUCAUUUACCUAAAGAUUGUCAUUAAACCCCCUCAGUCUACUUUUCUCCUGACCAAACACCCCCAAACCCUUGAACCUUUUCUUAUAGAACCAACCGUCAUCGUUUAAAACAUUUGUGUGCCUCCUAUUUCUUUACAAUAUUUUUUAACAGCGGAAACAAACCCCCAAAAUGCAUUUUCUAGUGAGGCUUGGACUAAGGUGGAUUAGAGAAAGAAUACACAAAGGAGAAUGAUUUCCUAAACUGCGCCCGUUAUACUUCCGACAUCUCAGUACCAUGCUGGCUUUUUCCCACAGAAUUGCUAUAUUUCUGAGGAGUAUUCAUUUAGUAAACCGAGUUCUCUGCACCCAGGUCAUUUUGCCACUAAACUUGUAAUAAUCUCAGCAACAACAGUAAUAGCAGCAUCUAACUGUUGCCCUGUGUUAAUGGCUGACAGCCGCCCUCUGCGGUUAGUCUACCAUCAUCUGCAAUUUAUAGCAGAGGAUCCAGGCUUGGAGAGGUUCAGGAACUGGCCUGAGAUGAUCCUGGCUGUGAAUGGUGAAGACUGGGUUCUAAUCUACAACUGGAUCCCUGGAUUCUCACUCUUGAGUGCCAUGCUGUGUACUUCUCAGUGUCGAUCUGUGGAUUGAAAUUAACAGUAUCUGCCGGGCGCAGUGGCUCAGGCCUGUAAUCCGAGCACUUUGGGAGGCCGAGGUGGGCGGAUCAUGAGGUCAGGAGUUCGAGACCAGCCUGGCCAACAUAGUGAAACCCCAUCUCUACUAAAAAUACAAAAAAUUAUCCAGAUGUGGUGGUGUAUGACUUACCCCAGCUACUCGGGAGGCUGAGGCAGGAGCAUCGCGUGAACCCGGGAGACGGAAGUUGCAGUGAGCCAAGAUUGCGCCACUGCACUCCAGCCCAGGCAACAGAGCGAGACUCCAUCUCAAAAAAAAAAAAAAAAAGGAAAGAAAUUAACAGUAUCUGUAUUAGUCAUCUCAGGCUGCUGUAAUAAAAAUACCAUAGACUGGGUGACUUAAACAACGACAUUUAUUUCUUACUGUUCUGAAGGCUGGGAAGUCUAAGAUCAAGGCACUGGCAGGUCUAGAGUCUGGCGAGGGCUCUCUUCUGGUUUGUAGACAGCACACUGGUAUCUUCACUGAGAAGAGCACUAAUCCCAUGAUGAGGGCUCCCCCCUCAUGACCUCAUGUAACCCUAACCACCUUCCAAAGUUCCUAUCACAAUGGGGAUUAGGGUUUCAACAUAUGAAUUGGGGUCAAGAAGGGAGGACACAAACAUGCAGUCUGUAACACUACCUCUUUUCAUACUUAAAAAAAAAAUGCGGGUUUUUGUUUGUUUAACACUCUUUUUUUUUUUUUUUUGGGGGGGUGAUGGAGUCUCGCUCUGUCACCCAGGCUGGAGUGCAGUGGCGCGAUCUCGGCUCACUGCAAGCUCCGCCUCCCGGGUUCGCGCCAUUCUCCUGCCUCAGCGUCCCGAGUAGCUGGGACUACAAGCCCCCACCACCACGCCUGGCUAAUAUUUUGUAUUUUUAGUAGAGACGGGCCCACGCCCACCCGGAACUCCCGCUGGCCCGCAAGCGCCGCACGCAGCCCCGGUUCCCGCUCGUGCCUCUCCCUCCACACCUCCAUGCAAGCUGAGGGAGUGGGCUCCGGCCUUGGCCAGCCCAGAAAGGGGCUCCCACAGUGCAGUGGGGGGCUGAAGGGCUCCUCAAAUGCCACCAAAGUGGGAGCCCAGGCAGGAGAGGUGCCAAGAGCAAGCGAGGGCUCUGAGGACUGCCAGCAUGCUGUCACCUCUCAGUUUCACCGUGUUAGCCAGGAUGGUCUCGAUCUCCUGACCUCAUGAUCUGCCCGCCUCAGCCUCCCAAAGUGCUGGGAUUACAGGCGUGAGCCACCGUGCCCGGCCUUAACACUCUAUUUUUUUUUUUUUUUUUUUUUGAGACGUAAUUUUGCUUUUGUUGCCCAGGCUGGAGUGCAAUGGCGCGAUUUCGGCUCACUGCAACCUCCAUCUCCCGGGUUCAAGCAAUUCUCCUGCCUCAGCCUCCCAAGUAUCUGGGAUUACAGGCAUGCGCCACCACACUUGGCUAAUUUUGUAUUUUUAAUAGAGAUGGGGUUUCUCCAUGUUGGUCAGGCUGGUCUCAAACUCCCAACCUCAGGUGAUCCGCCCACCUUGGCCUUCCAAAGUGCUGGGAUUACAGGCGUGAGCCACUGAGCCCCACCUGUUUAACAUUUUUUAAUUUUUUUUUUUAAUUAUAGAGAUGGGGUCUCACUAUGUUGCCCAGGCUGGUCUCAAACCCCUGGGCUCAAGUGAUCCUCCCGCCUCAGCCUCCCAAAGUGCUGGGACUAUAGGCAUGAGUCACUGCACCUGGCCUCUUUUUAUACUGACCAGGUUUGUGUUACUCCACUCUAUUUCCUUCAACAACAAUUUCCCAAUUUAUCAAGGUAAUUUUCAAAUUUAUACUGGUUCUUAGUCCAGAGAAUUAGCAACUCCAACUAAUUAAGUAACAUCUGCAGUUUCAGUCAGUAUAUUUCCAUUAUCUUCAUUCCUUUUAUGGAAACUUAAAAAUUUCAACUUCAGGCUGGGCAUGGUGGCUCAUGCCUGUAAUCCCAGCACUUUGGGAAGCCAAGGCGGGAAAAUCACUUGAGCUUAGGAGUUUGAGACCAGCCUGGGCAAUAUAUCGAGACCUUGUCUCUACAACAGCAACAACAACAAUAAAAAUUAAAAGUUUAAACUUCAAAUUCUGACUGUUAGACGCAAUAAGCGCUAACAUUGUAUUCCAGGCAUUAUUGUAAGCAUGUUAUAUGCCUUAACUCCUUUGCUACUCUCUGUGGCCCUAAAAAGUAGAUACACUUGUUCCUUCCACUGUUAGAUGAUAGAGGCACAGAGUGGUUGUAUAACUUGCUUAAGGUCACGCAGCUAGACAUUUGGCCCCACAUCUUUACAAGUAGCUUUAGAUUCAAAAAAUAUUCUAUGUGCAUCUUGUUUCCAAUUCUCUUUUCAAUAAAUAAUCCCUUUCCAAUCAAGAAUUUUAGGGAAAAAUUGGACCAUUUUUCUAAUGUUAUUUAUCCAUUUUCCUGCUAAUAG
rnacentral:lncRNA from 1 species